AGAAGCUGUAAAUUGCCAAAAAAAUGUACAAGCAUCAAAGCACAAAGUGCAAAAGCAAGUCUUUAGCAACAACAAGAGAAAAAAAUAACCUAAGUAAAACCACCCAGGCAAUUUCACUUGAACUUUAUCAAAGACUGUAAAUUUCCAGAGCAAGGUACAACCGUCGACCACGAGGUACAAUGGCACAAGUUUUUCAGCCAUUAAAAGUACAAAAAAAAUUAAAAAGAAAAUACAAUUGGUUUCCAUAUACUUACAUGGAGAAGUGGGAGAAGAGAAGAGAAGAGUGAGAAAUAUGGAGAAUGGAAGGGGCAUUGAAACGAUGCUAAAAUCAGGGGAAAUUGCUGAAUGGAUAAAGAGGGGUCAUACUGAAUUGUUGACGGAGGAGACAAUUGAGAAUAGAAAAAGAAUUGUGGCGUUGAAGAUUUGGAGUGUAAAGAGGAGCGGCCAUUGAUCAAAAUCUGAAGCACAAUCUCUGCAUUUCGUAGUCUCCAUGAAAGGGAGUGGACUGUUGAGCUUGAAAUGAGU
rnacentral:lncRNA from 1 species